rnacentral:rRNA from 1 species
AGCGAACGCUGGCGGCGUGGAUUAGGCAUGCAAGUCGAACGAGUCUGGUUUGGUCGUAAGACUGAGCCAGAUGAGUGGCGAAAGGGAGAGUACAAAACAGGUAACGUACCCUGGACACCGGGACAGUCCGUCGAAAGACGGGUUAAUACCGGGCGAUGUCCCGACCUUUAUGGGUUGGGAUCAUAGGGCGGGGACCCUUCGGGGCCUGUCGGUCUGGGAGCGGCCUGUUUCCUAUCAGCUAGUUGGUGAGGUAAUGGCUCACCAAGGCGAUGACGGGUAGCCGGCCUUAGCGGGUGUUCGGCCUCACUGGGACUGAGACACUGCCCAGACACCUACGGGUGGCAG